GAUGAACGCUGACAGAAUGCUUAACACAUGCAAGUCAACUGUGGCGGACGGGUGAGUAACGCGUAAACAACUUGCCUCCCCGUUAGGGACAACAUUUGGAAACGAAUACUAAUACCUGAUACUGUGAGAGAGCUUUGCGUCCCAUUAGCUAGUUGGAGAGGUAACGGCUCACCAAGGCGAUGAUGGGUAGCCGGCCUGAGAGGGUGAUCGGCCACAAGGGGACUGGGACACGGCCCUGACGCCUACGGGAGGCAGGAGGGGGGAAUAUUGGACAAAGGACCAAAGUCUGAUCCAGCAAUUGUGUGUGAACGAUGAAGUUUUCGGAAUGUAAAGUGCUUUCAGUUGGGAAGCGGUACCAACAGAAGAAGUGACGGCUAAAUACGUGCCAGCAGCCGCGGUAAUUC
rnacentral:rRNA from 1 species